GCGCUUUCGGCGGCGGCGGCGGCGGAGGCGGCGGCGGCGGCGACCCUCCGGUCGCUUAGGCGGAACUCGGGCCCAGCCGCUCUACUUUCGGUUUCGAGGUAGAAUAAACUUCAAGGAAUGAGUUGCAUGGGCAGCAGCAGAGUUCUUGGACGCCCGUCCCUAUGGGCCGCUUUUCUUCUCAACAAGUCACACGGGCAGGGAGUGUUGUAGCGAUCCGUGUCUAUACUGCGGCGCCACGUGCAGGGAGCGCGGCACAAUUCGCCCUCCCGACUGGCUUCGGGCACGCUUCAGACGCAGGGCCGGGGACCUCCUCUCUGUUCCCAGACCCUCCCUUGCACACCUAGAUGUUUAUGUUCUCGUAUCUUAACUGUUCUGCAGCGCCCUCCUUCCUGCCUGUGCACAAGAGAUUUCAGUUCGUCCUCUCAGUUGACUUCCUUUUCCAGGGCUUUCGCUCCAUUCUCCACCACACAGGAGCCGGAAGCCACCACAGAGCCAAGGCUUCUGUGUUCUGGAGCGUCAGGGAGCCUGGGGACUGAGGCACCGUCCGGCAGCCACGCCCUUGUUGAGACAGUGCAGGCAGCUUUGACCGAGAAUUUACGUCAUCCAGGAGACUGUACGCAUUCACGUCACCAACUGGCUCCUCACCCACUGGGUCACACUGUGAGAAACCCAUUGCCCUGCCACCUCCUGGACGCCUGUGAUCCCUGGGAACACUGCCCUGACCUGUGGAGGCCUUCGCCCAGCCUGCUGCCCUGGUUCUCUGAGUUCCAGCCAAGAACAUGACCGCCCCUGAGGGAGCUCCCCCGGACAGUAGUGGAUGGAAUUGUCCCCUACCCGCUUUGCCACUUAACAUAGUGAGGGAACAGUGGCCUGCAUCUACAUCCCGGCCUCAACACUAUCCCUCCCGCUGAACAUGAGGCCUGGCCCUCCAGGAGCGUGCGGUCAAGAACAGUGAUCGAGCAUUUCCUCCGGCCUGGCCCUGCCCUGCUGAGAGACGAAGGGGAACUUGGACUCUUGCCAGGGUCUAGAGACAUUGGUGUGAUGAUGACACAGGAUUACCACCCACUAACUCACCAUCUCCAUCUCGGAGGCUAAGUUCUGGCUUGUGCCUUAGGAAGCAGGCCUCAAAAUGGAGGAAAUUCCGCAAACGUCAGAAGAGUGUUCAAAAGACGCUGGCAACUGCAAGGCAUGACAAAUAUCCACUUGAAUGUUAGAACAAAAUGUGAAAGGCAGGGUGCAAUGACACGUGUAAUAACUGACAAUAUUAGAGAGCAAAUGACAAUAUUAAGAUAGAUUUUAUAACAUUGGAAUUUCAGGAAAUCGCAUUUGACAUCUUCUUAUGGGGAAAUGUUUCCCUCUACUUAAACUAUUUUUCACUGCGUGUGUGUUUAUUUAAGCCAUGAUAUUCUUUAUGCAUUCUAUAGUGGUUUAAAAAAUAGGUCUAGGGCUUCCCUGGUGGCGCAGUGGUUGAGAGUCUGCCUGCCGAUGCAGGGGACACGGGUUUGUGCCCUAGUCCGGGAAGCUCCCACAUGCCACGGAGCGGCUAGGCCCGUGAGCCAUGGCCGCUGAGCCUGUGCGUCCGGAGCCUGUGCUCCGCAACGGGAGAGGCCACAACAAGUGAGAGGCCCGCGUACCACAAAAAAAAAAAAAAAAAAAAAAAAAAAUUCUAGAACUGCUUUGAUACUCCUCCCUUCAAGACAUAGAGCCUAAUUCCCUUCUCCUUCAGUGUGGGCUGGAUCUUGUUUCUAAGGAGUAGAAUAAAACAGAAGAGACAGUAUGCAACCUCGGAGAGUAGGUCAUCAAAAGACACUGCUGCUAUCAACUUGGUUUCUCUCUGUUGGAUGAUUCCCUCUGGAGGAAACCAGCUGCCAUGUCCGGAGCAACCUUUUGAGAGGCCCAUGUGGGGAAGAGCAGCCAGCAAGGAACUGAGGCCUCAGCCCAGUCAAGCCUUCGGAUGACUAUGGCCCUGGCGAAUAUCUUGACUACAACCUCUUGAGAGACCCUGAAUCAGAACCACCUAGCGAAACCUUGAUUUCCUGACCCUCAGAAACUACAUAAGGUAAAUAUUUGUGUGUUAUUUUUAUGCAGCUAUAGAUAACUAAUAGACAAACUAGCCAGAGGUGGUAACUCUAGCUUUGACAAUGUAUUCACAGGCAUAUAUUUUGUUUCCAUACAUGUAUCUUAAAAGACCCUGCUGAUGGCAACACCAAUUGCCUAAGAUAAUGGGGGACAAACUAGAUCACUUUUACAUGAUUGGUAGGAGUAUAAAAUGGUAUGACCACUGUGCACAAAAUUUGGCAUUUCUUAAAAGAAACAAACAUACAACUACCAUAGGACCCAGCAAUUGCACUCAUGAGCAUUUAUCCCAGAGAAAUGAAAACUUACACACACACACACACACACACACACACACACACACGAGAUAUUUGUUGCACUUUAAUCAAUUAAUGAUAGCCCAAAACAAAGACCCUGCUGACCCUUUUGCUAACAUUGAACUUUCCUUCUUCGAUUUGUUUCCAAACUCUUGAAUGGAGUUGCCCAAACUUUCCAAGUCCACUCAUUUACUUUCACUUUUUCCCAGAAUCCUCUGCUGUGUGGCUUCUACUUUUCUCUCUCUUUAUCUUUUCACAAUGAAAAUAUCUUUACUAACAGACAUUCAAACUGUGAAAGUUGUAUGAAGUUCAAACAAUAUAGAAGUGAAUAAAGUAGAAUGCAUAACCCCUUUCCAGAACCCCUGUCAUUCCAGUUAUACUGAAUUGGGACCCCUUGUCCCUUAGAGAUGCUAAGCCAUUUUCUGUCUCUCUCCUCCUGAUUCUUUCUGCCCAACUCUCCUCCAAGGCCCAGCAUAAACCCUCCCUUCCCACCACACAUAGAAUUGUAAAGUGAAAUGAGUAUUAAGUUACACUUACCUGCAAAUAGGAGUGUACAAAACUUAGGAAGGGGCUUCCCUGGUGGCACAGUGGUUGAGAGUCCGCCUGACGAUGCAGGGGACGCGGGUUCGUGCCCCGAUCCCACGUGCCGCUGAGCGGCUAGGCCCGUGAGCCAUGGCCGCUGAGCCUGCGCAUCCGGAGCCCGUGCUCCACAGCCGGAGGGGCCACAACAGUGAGAGGCCUGCGCACCAAAAAAAAAAAAAAAAGUCUUGGGAAGUGAAAGCUUGUGCUAUUCCUUCCCUUUGUCUUCCUGCCUUCAAUGAGCUGGUGUGAAAUGAAGUUCCUGGAGCUGUGUUAGCAUCCUGUGACUACAAGGGGACAAGCCAAUGGAUAAGGAGCUAACACCCAAAGAUGCCAGAAGGAUGGGCUUGAAGGAAACUGCCCUUACAGACCGUUAUGAGCCAGAGCCAGCCGGAGACUAUCUACCUCCCAUCUGCCUGAGGUAUGGGAUAAUUAACACAUCUUGAAAUAUAUACCAGUGGUUCUCAAAGCAUCCGGAUCACCUGGGAACUUGUUGGAAAUGCAAAUUCUCAGGCCCUACCCCAACUUCCUGAAUGUGUGUCUCAGAACUGGGUGAUGGUGAGACAUGCUCGGGUUUUAAUGGCCCUGUUUUCACGGUAGGUUUCUGAGGAAACGUUUCCUAAGGGCUCAGACGGUAUGUGUAGAGUGGAUGAAGGGUUCUACAGUAUUCCACAAAGGUUGCUUCCUUGACUGAGUCCCCAUUACUGGCUUGAUUUCUUAUCAUUUACCUUUUUUUCCCCUAAGUGGGCUUAUCUCCUGAGGGUGCACUUGCUGUCUUUCUGUAUUUAAAUAAAUAUACAAAUGAUUGCGUGGAACCCUGAAGCUGCCUUCUCUUCAGGUGUGUCUCGUCUUUGAUAGACUCUUCACUUUCACUUUACUAGAAAUCUCUCACUUGCUAAUUUCAUCCUAACACCCUUUUAUUUCAACAUCAGUUAAACCCUUCAACUUCCAGGUUACUUUUAAACCCCCUCCUUAUCUCAACAGUGAAGAAAUAUGGCCGUAUCAUAGAUUUUCAGAGUAUCAUUGAGACAGGCUGGCACCUGGGACCUGGGACCCUUUGCUGCAGUGGUUGCUCCUGGACAAACAUCUCCUUGAGGAAUAGGAUACAAAGAAACUAUAAGGGACUUAAAAUAGCUGCGUACAUGCGCAGCUGGGGCAAAUUAUGGACAACAAGAUACGAAAAGACCAAAAACCCAGCUGCCACUUCUGAGGUGUCAGGAGCAAAAGCAGGGUAUUGCGCAUGAUCCCUGCACGCAGCACCGCCAAGGGGGUGGGCAGACCACCUAAGUCACCCCUCCACCUAACCGCGGGGCCCACCCCUAUCCUCCCAUAUAAGGAACCAGCUUACCACUCCCCCUCAGCGAGUGAGCAAGGGAAACUGUUACUUGUUUUCUCUCCCUCCUGCUGCAGCAUGAGUCCCAGUAAAGCCUUGCCUGAAUUUCUUGUCUGGCCUCUGAUCAAUUUCUAUUGAUUAAAGAGUCCAAGGUCAGUAACAUUAUCACUAAGCAGCAUCAACACUAGGACGUAUUUUCUCAUCUGAAGGUGAAAACGAGAAGCAUCCUGUUGCUUACAUUGGGGAUUACGAAAUACUUUCCAGGCACUUUCAGAUGCCUGAGUGUGCAAUUCUUCUGGGUUCCAAAGAACAGUUGAUGGCUGAGCGAGUGUGAGGUCAACCAACCCUGACUCUGCUGAAAUUGUGGUGAGGCUCUUUCAGACAGCUCUGGGCCGGAGAUACCACAAAGGGAAGCAGGGUUGCUGGGACAUGGGACAAGGGUCGGGCGACGGAGGUUUGUAUUGCCUGGUGCCUUCCAUCUCCCAGCAAUUCAGGGCUCAACUACAGAGAAGUCCAGUGGGAAUUUUGCAAAGGACUCCUAGCCUGCUUUCAAAAGGGCUCUUUACUCUCUCCUCCCUUCCCCCUCAUCUUUUGUUUUCCAAUUUCACUAAAGACAAAUUUUGUUUUAUAGAGCAGUGUGUUAGCAUCACUUUACUGUGAGAAGCACUUUACAUGUUACCUCAUUUUACCUAAUUUUCCCCAUUUCUGUUUUAGUUCUUUAUUCUUAAUUUUUUUAUAAUUGCUUUACAAUGGUGUGUUAGUUUCUGCUUUAUAACAGAGUGAAUCAGCUAUACAUAUACAUAUAUCCCCAUAUCUCCUCCCUCUUGCGUCUCCCUCCCACCCUCCGUAUCCCACCUCACUAGGUGGUCACAAAGCACCGAGCUGAUCUCCCUGUGCUAUGCGGCUGCUUCCCACUAGCGAUCUACCUUACGUUUGGUAGUGUAUAUGUGUCCAUGUCUCUCUCGCUUUGUCACAGCUUACCCUUCCUCCUCCCCAUAUCCUCAAGUCCAUUCUCUAGUAGGUCUGUGUCUUUAUUCCUGUCUUACCCCUAUAGUUCUUUAUUCUUUAAGUGUUCUGCCUCUAUCUUAUUGUCCUUACUUUGUCUUUAUUUGCAUUGCCUUUAAAAGUAUUAUUACAUAACAUCCAACUGAAGUUAUAUUUAUUCCUUGUUAAGUUUAGAUUUUUUCUUAAUCUGUGUGUUUUGAUUUUAUUUUACAUAUUGUCGCUUUUAAUUUCUAUUUUAUAAUUAAAUCUGGUUAUUUUAUCUUGUAAUAGUUCACUUUUCAUGACAUUUCUAUUUUAACCCUUAUAUUUAAAUUUUAACCGUUUAGUUUUUCUUAAUUUUCUCUCUUCCGUGUGUUAUUAUACUUAAUUCUUUUUCAGGGAUAUUUAUUUUACUUUGGGUUUUUUUGUUUGUUUGUUUGUUUGUUUGCGUUAUGCGGGCCUCUCACUGUUGUGGCCUCUCCCAUUGCGGAGCACAGGCUCCGGAUGUGCAGGCUCAGCGGCCCAGCCGCUCCCCUACUGAUGAGUCCCAGCAUUGGAAGAACAGGCACUUUCUUUCAUUUCCCAGACAGAUUUACCUUCUCCUGGGUCUGUGCAUGUUUUAACAUCUUGCCACUCAGUAACAUUUCUUGUUUGACAGGUUUCUUCCAUGAACCAGGUUACCAAGUGCGAUGAAGAUCGUGAAGAGAGGCUGUUGCCUCAUCUAUGCCCUUUUAAGGGUGCUUUAGACCAGGGAAAACCACAGGGCAGGGCAAAAGAAUAAACUAGUUAAACAUUCCUAGCCGCAAAAGAAAUUCCUGUUUCGUCACAUGCAGGCUAAAUAAUUUCUUUUUAUCUAAGGGUGACAUUCCUUGUAUGUCCUCUCUACCCCCUGGAGAUUCUCUUCUUGAUUUGGUCCAAAACCGUCUUUUGAAAGACUUGGUGCACCAGCUGCUGGCAGCUGGGAGGCACAUAACAGUAGGUCUGCCAGGAUGGCUUCAACAGGGAGAGAGUGAGGCCUUGCAGCCCAGCCGAGCUCAGAGCUCAAAGAAAGGGCAGUUUGGGGUCCUCCAAUCUCUCCUUGAUCUUCAACUCCUUCAGCAGAAGGAAUGUCCUUGCCAGUUAUUUCUCUGCACAGUAUACCUGCAGUUGAACACUUUUUUUUUUUUUUAUGCGGUAUGCAGGCCUCUCACUGUUGUGGCCUCUCCCGUUGUGGGGCACAGGCUCCGGACGCACAGGCUCAGCAGCCAUGGCUCACGGGCCCAGCCGCUCCGCGACACGUGGGAUCCUCCCGGACCGGGGCACGAACCCGUGUCCCCUGCAUCGGCAGGCGGACUCUCAACCACUGCGCCACCAGGGAAGCUCAGUUGAACAUUUUUGUAUUGAGUUAAAAUGGGGGAGACCUUCAAGAUGGCAGAGGAGUAAGACGUGGAGAUCACCUUCCUCCCCACAAAUACAUCAGAAAUACACCUACACGUGGAACAACUCCUACAGAACACCUACUGAACGCUGGCAGAAGACCUCAGACCUCCCAAAAGGUAAGAAAUCCCCCACGUACCUGGGUAGGGGAAAAGAAAAAAGGAAAAACAGAGACAAAAGAAUAGGGAUGGGACCUGCACCAGUGGGAGGGACCUGUGAAGGAGGAAAGGUGUCCACACACUAGGAAUACCCUUCGCAGGCAGAGACUGAGGGUGGCGGAGGGGGGGAAACUUCGGAGCCGCGGAGAACAGCGCAGCAACAGGGGUGCGGAGGGCAAAGCGGAGAGAUUCCCUCACAGAGGAUCAGGGCCAACCGGCACUCACCAGCCCGAGAGGCUUGUCUGCUCACCCGCCGGGGCGGGCGGGGGCGCGAGCUGAGGCUCGGGCUUUGGUCGGAGCGCAGGGAGAGGACUGGGGUUGGCGGUGUGAACACAGCCUGCAGGAUUUAGUGCACCACGGCUGGCCGGGAGGGAGUCCGGGAGAAAGUCUGGACCUGCUGAAGAGGCAAGAGACCAUUGUUUUGGGGUGAGCGAGGAGAGGGGAUUCAGAGCACCACCUAAACGAGCUCCAGGGACGGGCGCGAGCCGCGGCUAUCAGCGCGGACCCCAGAGACGGGCAUUAGACGCUAAGGCUGUUGCUGCCGGCACCAAGAAGCCUGUGUGCGAGCACAGGUCACUCUCCACACCUCCCCUCCCGGGAGAUUGUGCAGCCCGCCACUGCCAAGGUCCCGUGAUCCAGGGACAACUUCCCCAGGAGAACGCACGGCGCACCUCGGGCUGGUACAACAUCACGCCGGCUUCUGCCACUGCAGG